rnacentral:rRNA from 1 species
UACAGAGGUCUCGAGCGUUGUUCGGAUUCAUUGGGCGUAAAGGGUGCGUAGGUGGCGAGGUAAGUCGGGCGUGAAAUCCCGGGGCUCAACCCCGGAACUGCGUUCGAUACUGCUUUGCUUGAGGACUGGAGAGGAGACUGGAAUUCACGGUGUAGCAGUGAAAUGCGUAGAUAUCGUGAGGAACACCGGUGGCGAAGGCGGGUCUCUAGACAGUUCCUGACACUGAGGCACGAAGGCCAGGGGAGCAAACGGG